rnacentral:lncRNA from 1 species
AGAGACGGAGUUUUCCCAUGUUGCUCAGGCUGGUCUCAAACUCCUAGACUCAAGCAAUCUGCCCACUUCAGCCAAACAAAGUGCUGGGAUUACAGGCCUAAGCUGCUGCACCUGGCAAGACUGAUUUUUAAAGCCAGAAACUACUAUGGUUGAGCAAAAAUUAAAGCCAUAUUAGAUUAAGUCCUGCACUCAGCCCUCACAUCGGAUUCUAGUCACUGACCAUUGAUCAGCUCCCUCGUCAGACACGAGCCACAAUUUGUCUUCAGAUAGCAGCACUCUCAGAUCUACAGAAGCACCAGGAACCCCUCGGUGGUGUUCUCACGGCUCGAAUUUACCUUGCAAAUCUUGGAAGUAACCUAAACACAUUCUGUUCCUUCUAGAAAAUGUCAAUCCUGAAGUUUAAAUAAUCACCUGAACCCUUUCUACUCUGUUCAUUCCCAUAUUGUUCUCUGAGCCCUACCAGAUUUCUUGCAUUCCUAGCAGAAACAAUGGAGUGCAAAUGAAUCAAUGAUUCUACCCAUGUGUUUAAAGAAAUAGUCAAAACAUAGAGGCUUCUCCCUUCCACUCUGCCAGCUCCCCCCUCUCCCUACCCUACCACUGGCAGAGGCAGGAGAUUUUUCUUUCCUUGCUGCACAGUUGCAAGAGCAAAAUGCCGUAUAA